UGGUGGAGUGGGGAGGACUUCAUGAAGGAUGGAUCUCAUUUCAGGGCAGGAUUUGAGGAAGUCGUAUCCCUGCUGGAGAGCCACAUUCAGAGUCUGGUCCAGUCCCGGAAAGUAUCCGGUCACAAGUGGGGCACUUUUGUGGUUCUUCUGUGGGAGGUUCUGGGUUUGAGGGGAUGAGGAAGUGGCUCUGGUUAUUUACUUCUGUACCAGGUCGGGAGGGUAGUUGCGGGAUGCGAAAGCUGUUGUCAGGUUGUUGGUGUAAUGGUUCAGAGAUUCCGGACUGGAGCAGAUUCGUUUGCCACGAAGACCUAUGCUGUAGGGAAGGGACCAUUUGAUGUGGAAUGGGUGGCAGCUGUCAUAAUGGAGGUACUGUCGCUUGUUGGUGGGUUUGAUGUGGACGGAUGUGUGAAGCUGGCCAUUGGACAGAUGGAGGUCAACGUCAAGGAAAGUGGCUUGGGAUUUGGAGUAGGCUAUCCGUGAUCUGAAGGCUGACCGAUCCAUCGUCAUUCUUCCGGCGGGCAAGGGUUCCACGACCAUGGUACUUGAUCGUCGGGAGUAUGUGGCUGAGGGACUGCGUCAGCUUUCAGACAACACCACAUACAAAUUUUGCCAAGGUAAUCCCAUUCCUGAUGUCCAGGCGGAGCUUCAAGGAAUCCUCAGAACAUUAGGCCCCCUACAAAACCUUUCACCUGACUACGUCAACCUCCUGGAGCACUUCCUUUCACGCCGAUCACCUGCCACCCUACCUAAAACCUCUUUCCUCAUUACCUUAGCCAGCUUCAUCCUAACUCACAACUUCUUCACUUUCGAAGGUCAGACAUACCAAUGUGCUUUCACACGUGGCUCUGCCUUUGAUCGUGUACACCUUCCGGGUUACAGGACUGGACUAGGUGGUGGUGGGAGGGUGCCCGGGACAGGUCUUACACCGGGAGCGGUUACAAGGAUAGGAGCCAGAGGGUAGGGAAGGUGGUUUGGGGAUUUCAUAGGGAUGAACUAACAGGUUACGAAGGUUAGGUGGACGGCGGAAAGACACUCUUGGUGGAGUGGGGUAAUUCAAAGUUAUUUAGUUGGCUGUACAUUAGACAUUCAAAAACUUCAGAGAUAAUUGGGACAAUAGAAACUGGUGGAUAGUUUUGGGGCAGAUGCUUAUCUCCCUUUUGAAAGACUGGUAUCGCUUUAGCAGUUUUGAGUUCAUUUGGGAAACCUCCAGAUUCUAAACAUACCUUAAAAAUGAAAGAAGGAGGUUGACAGAUAGUGUGUUAUUUUUUCAUUACAUAGUUGGAGAACCAAUAACAGUCCUUACUUGUGGAGUUGGUGAACCUUGCCACAAGUUUUACUACAUCCUCUGGGGUGACAACAUUCCAGUGGAAAGUAUACGUCCUAUGGGGCAUAGCACCAAGAUGAUCUAGUGUAAAAGUGCCAUUUUCCAAUGUUGUUAAAAAGGCUAUUGUCAGCUUAGUAUAUAAUUUUAUUGUUAAUUUAUCCAUGUUGGAGCUUGUUUAACUCCACAGCUAUGAAGGAUUGUCAGUGAAGACUGCAAUCAGCCACAACUACUUCUGAAAAGCAUUGAGUGCCAUUACUGGUUUGUAGCUGUCAUGCCAAUCUUAAAAUGGUUCUUUCUUUCUUUCUUUCCUUUUUUUUCUUCCCACAGUAACAUAUUCAUCAGCAGCAUUCCGUCCAUCUGUGCACUUCAUAAGAGUACUACAGCAUUUAGUGUUGCUUAAUAUGUUGUGUGGAUAGCAAAAACAUGUUAAUAUGCCAUCAUUUGAUAAAAUACAAAAUUAAAUAGUAAGAUAUUCAUUUUUUACUGGAUUUUGUUUCAUCUUGUUUUGGUCCUUACACCUUUUCAGGACAAAGCAUAAAGUGGUGAAAAGUGUAAACAUUGCACAUACUGUAAACAAACCAUUAUCUCUCUCUCUAUCUCUCUCUCUCUCUCUCUCUCUCUCUCUCUCUCACACACACACACACACACACACACACACACCACUUGUCAGUUGCAGCCGGAGACAUGUACUUCAUGUGUGAUGUUUUGGUUUACAGUGAAAAGGCUAUCCACUAAUCAAAGAUAUCACUCAUUUCCCAACAAGAAAAGAUUUCAUCUACUAUAAUUAAGCAAAGGAUAAGUGCAAGACAUGCAAACCUAAAUAACAGAGGAAAAAUGCUUUGUCCAUAAGAGUGAACAUCUGACAUAUCAAUAACUGAAGCAUGCCAUAGGAAAAAUUAAAAUGUGUAAUAAUUAGUGUGCUGUCAAAAGUCAAUCACAAGUGUUUUGAUUUUGGCCUCUGUCCAUUUUCUUCAAUGGUAUUGUUAGGAUGUUAAGUAGUGCAGUUGUUUUAUAUUGGAACAAGGGUAUUCUUGUUCGCAGUUCGGACUUGCGGGCCCAAUUGUGUUUAAUUUGUGUGAAAAGCCCAAGGAACAUCUGCUGGAAUUGUUUAUUAGCUAGCUCCAGACACUAAUUUAGAAUGUAUAGAUAUGACAUAAUGGUGUGAAUGGAGAUACACCUUCUUGCAUAUGUUAGUUAUAUUUUAUAUUUGGAAAUUACCUUUAAUGCUUGAAAUGGUGUGUUCUUUUGAUCCAUGUUAGUGCAGUUGCAGUUUUAUUUGAAUUUGGUGCUCUAUAAGCAUCAAUGAAUGUACAGAAUCUUGUACUACAGGUAUAUUAAACUUUCUGCUUGCCCGACAAAAAAAGAAGAAAAAGAAAUUUACAGCAGUCGUCUCAAUCAGUAUUGUAUAUUCCUGGUGACCCAGCUUGAUGAUUUUGGUUUUCUGUACUGUGUUCAGUUGCAUAGUCCUGUGUGUACAUAUAUUAAAGUUGACAUUGUUCUCUUGGCAGUAAUGUGCAGAAAAUAUUAGAUUUUUCCUCUGUAUGUCAUUUAUAAAAUAUCGGAUGUGUCUUAAUAGAAAGACGAAAAUUUUUUUAAGAGAUUAACUUAUCCAUGCAUACAGCAAUAACAUCUUAUACAGUUCUAUAUUAUGUUGUCUUAAUUUUGACACAUUGUGUACAGCGUUCUUGAAACAUAUCUCAAACAAGUUCACAAUUAAGGUAAAAUAAGUUACGCAAUUUGUAUUGUGUAAGUACUCACUGGAUGAGUGAAUGUUUGUAAUGUAGUCACUCACUUUCAGCUGUAUUCACUACCUUGGCAACACUUUUGCCAUUCUGAUAUAUUUUUUGUGUCAUCAUGUUAACCCUUCUGAAAAAGAAGUCAUAAUCUCACCACAGUGUCGAGAUCAGGAAAAUGAAAUCAACCACAGGUCCUGGGCAAAGGAUUUCACAGCAGAAUGAAAGGUGUUUCUAAUUAAAUGGUCAGUUUUACGCCAUUGUCUGCUCCAUGCUACAUGAAUAAAAUAGACCUUGACUUUGUACAACCGAUUAUCUUUUUUAAAUUGAAUUUUAAGUGCCUUUUUAAUGUUAGGGAAAUUUAUUGUAAAUUUUAUUAUCUUGUAGAAAGUGCUGUUUUGCAUUCUCUCUCUCUCUCUCUCUCUCUCUCUCUCUCUGUGUGUGUGUGUGUGUGUGUGUGUGUGUGUGUGUAAGUUUUGUCUGGUUAAUACAUGUGAUGGUUAUGAAUACUGUUUCAGAUAACUGCUGUUAUGUUCUGAGGUAAGCCAAUAAAAUUGAGAUUCAAUGUAAUAUUAUGUAACUGCCGAAACUAUGUGGUUUUGAGGUAAUUGUUUGGGAGAGGGAGCUGCUAUAGAUUAGUAUGAUAUUUACACUGCUGAGCAAUAAAUGAACUUGUGAUCAUCAAAAUCUCCACUGUACAAUAGGCUGAAGACCUACAGCAGUUUCGUUAAAGAAAUUGUACAUUGCUCAAAUGUCAAGUGAAAUGAUUCACUGAAGUUUCUUUCAUGUACUUAACAAGUAUUGAAAAUUAAUUAUUUACCUUUAACUUAAUAUAACCUGUGGUGAUUUAUGCUCUGUACGUAAUAGAUAUCAUUAUCUACUCUGCUUGUAACUGGUAAUUCUUUAAUCAGGUCUUGUGGUUGCGUAUGUAGUUUAUUCUUGUUAUAUGCAGUACAUUUUGUAUGUCAAUGUGUCAUUUGCCAGGAAAUUAAGUUUGAGGGAACAGAAUUCCCAGUAUACAGCUAUAACUUGUGAUAAUAUUUAAAAUAGUUUUUGCACAAAUAUCUGAAAAAUAUCCAAAAUUCAAUAUUAAGUGAAUAACAGUCCACUUCCUUUUCUUACUGUAUAGUGACUUCUACAAUUGGAUAUUUCUCUUAAAGGCACUUUUAAAAAAUAAACAUGCCUUAAUCAUUCUUGGUGUUGUAAAUAUUAUCUUUGUUAGGUUCAGUUUUGUUUUGUUACUUUAUGUGCACGUGCAUAACAUGGAAUGAAUCAAAUCAUAAAAAUACAAUUUUGGUGUAAAAUAUCAUCUCUGUACACAAGUUAAUAGUACUAUUAGUACGAAUGAUGUACAAUUUUAAUCAGUGUUACAGUGCAAUGCUGUUAUUUGCCAGUGUAAAUAUGUAAUUGUUUGUCAGAGUAUAUGUGUAAUUUUUCAUGAUAAUGUAACUUCAGUUGUGUUCAUUUUACUCUAGACGGCAGUUUGGCAUUUUUGGAAACGCCAUCACCUCUUAUGUUGAUUUGAUCAUACACUUUAUUGCAACCUCAUCCAUAAAUAUUGCUCUCCUUAUUAAGCUGUGUUGAGGUCGGGGGUUCAGUUCCUACUUCUGUAGUUGAAGCUGUGGAAGCUUGUAUUUGUUUUCAGUUUGAUGCAAUCUGUUAAUUAUCAGUUCAUUUACUCUUUCUUGUAUGGGGUCAUAAAUAUGAUCACUGUAGAAAAGGUGUGUGUGUGUGUGUGUGUGUGUGUGUGUGUGUGUGUGUGUGUGUGGGCGCGCGCGCGCUUUAGUGAUGCAAGUAGUAAUUACAAUUAUCAUUUACUGCAAGUAUUACUAGAUUACCUCAUACCAUAAAUCAUAAAUUUUAUGAAACCAUCUUAUUUGUAAAAGCAGUUAAAACCUCAUAUGUUUAGCUUGUAUAAAGUUCAUUAUAGUACUUCAGUGGAUUCUUACUAUUUUUCAGUUAGAAGAAAUUAACAUUGAGCACUUCAUGGUUAUUAGUUCUUAUGGUUGUGCUAUAUAUGCAUAGUGAAAUAUGCAUAAGUUGCAAAUAUUGUGUGUGUUCAUGAAAUUUCUUUGUUGUUGUUGUUGUUGUUGUUGUCAUUGAUUAUGAUGAUGAUGAUGAUGAUGAUGAUGAUGAUGAUGAUGAGGCUGUGAUGUUAAUAUCAUUGCAAUUCCCCCUUCUUACCAGAAGAUGUAUUUAUGAGAACUGAAGCGAGAGGAAUGGACAGUGAAGCUGAGUACCAUUGCAUUUAUUUGUCUUACCAACAAAUUUGAGCAACGAUCUGCCCCCACCAAGAUUCCACCUCAUGUGCCUGCAGCAUGCAAUCCACCUUAGCACAGAUGCUAAUGAAAGUCCUGCUUACGAUGAGAGUCUGUGGGUAUAUGUAGCAGUAAUACUGAACUGUGUUAAAGAAUUUCAGCAGCAAUUGUUAUUAUCACAACUGAAGUGAGCCGAUGGAAUUUAUGCCACCAAGCCGUGUACUUUGGGGAGACAAUGCGACACUCAGGGCCUGGAAUAUUCCAUAGAGGAGCGGUGUUGCCACACUUUCGUGAGGAGGUCAUGACCAAAAGAUGUGGUGGGGCUGAUGUCAUUACAAGACCUUCUCCUGCAGUGCUGGACUAGACUCACGGCUGACCAGAUGGGAACCAGGUGGAUGAAUGUGGUAGCCUGCAGCAUCACUUCACAACUUCCAGAGCCAUCAAGGACCUGCACUGAUGAUAUCCUGUGAUCAUCAGCAAAGUCAUUUUUUUCAUUUCUACUGUGUUGCUGGACGUAACAGUGGAACUAAUGCAGUGACGGAGCUAGUGCGACGAUUGGACUGGUUCAGUAACGAAAACAGUCUUUGAUGGAUGAGCGUUGCUGAGGUGCAAGAAUUUCUUCUGUUAGGUGUGCAGCCACCAGGAUGACACUCUGUUCCUAGCUGUAUGGGACAUUGCUGAUAUCCUAGGCUCCUGGAUCGACAAGUACUACCUCGGUGUCUGUUACACCCAACCUCCGUGCCUCGCCCUGCAACGUAGUUGGUAUACGAUGCAGAAAGAUUAUUUUCAGCUUUUGUACUAAGAGAGGACUGGUGGUAGGUAGAUCUAUCCUGACCCCAUCCACAAAGUACAGUUCUUUAAUUUUGAAUUUGACAUCAAAUUUUUAGGGAAAAACAACAUUCUACAAAGAGUUACAACUUGAGGAAUUCUCAACCAGUGGAUAUGAAUCUAAAUGUGCAUUGGAGCAUUUCUCACGGGGCACAAGACAUGGAUAGCCACAUCUGUUUGUGGCGCUGUAAACUGUGACUCGAAAGGUUACCAGUGUUUUCUUCAGUAGUGCUUCUAAAGCAGUGGUGGUGUAGGCUAUGCAUUAAUGGAUGUGAGAACAUCCAUCAGGGCUUUCAGAAUGUGUAACUGCACAGCAAGGUAGUGUCAUCAACCAUUCUUUCACCCAGUUACAGAACAUGUAAAUAAAUUACAUGCAUUGAUCGGUAUCAAUGACAACAACAAUAACAAUAGUCUAGUCAUUAGACAGUAAAUUGAUAAUUAUUUCUUUAUUCCAUCUGACAAGUUGGUUGUUUAAUGUAGCAGUGCCUUCCUUAUCUGAGGAAAGUGUGAAUAAACAUACGAAUGAUCUUCAAUUAAUUUUUGAUAUAUGCACAUGUUGGUGCAACAGUAUUUCUAUUUUUCAGCUAUUAAGUAAACUUAAAUAAGUCACUGAAUUGUCCAUUUAAUAGACUUGUGUAUUUAUUUAGAUGUUAAGUACAUCACUGUACUAUUUCUUUGAUAUCUUGUUGGAAUACUAGUCACUCUAACAGCUUUUAUCUCAAAUUUGCAUAUGGUAUUGCCUAACAUUUGCUUGUAAAUAAGUUGUCAAAGCUCUACUUCUAAAGAAUUCGGUUUGCUAUGUUUUUUAAAUGUUAGUAUACCCUGGGCAUUGAUAAUGUUGUACUUUCAGUACACUGGCUAAAAUUAUUUCAAGUUAUCCAUUAUUGUUAUGUUCUGUUUGUCUUUAUAAUAUGUUUGUAUUUAUUUACACUUGUGUGCCGAUGUUAGUUACUAUUUUGUUACUGCUCUCUCAUAAAAACAAAUCAUUGAUUAGUAUACUUAUUAAUCUAUUUUUACGUAUUUAUUAUUUAUUGCUGUCAGAAACGGGCAUCCUUGUGGAUGCUUCCAGUGUUUUCCAGUGGUGGUGUAAGUAGCAAUACCAUCAUUUAGAAUUAAAUAAAAUACUGUUUGACAUGCACAA